UCUUGGGCCCAGUCUUCCACUGAAUGCCACUCUCAUCCACCACAGAUGCCUCCACGGUGACUGAGUGGGUGCCGAGGAUGGAGAAGUUCAGCAGGAACUGGGUGCUGAAGUAGUCAUUGUCCUGUCUUGCUCUGGAGAACUGAUGUGACGUUGAGACAGACGGACUGGAUUUUCCUGAAGAGACCCGGAGUCGAGCCGUGUUGUACCACUCCUUCCACCUUGAGCGUGAGUUGCUGAUUGCUCUGCACGGGGAUGGGUUCGCUCGGCGUGCGCGGUGAUGGAGAGAGCGCCAGCUGGAAAAACACAAAAACCUCUCAAGUGACUCAAAGAUUCAUUUAAGUCUUUAGGAAACCAUUAAAUGCAUUUCUAUCGCUUCUGCAUGGAGUGGUUUGGCACAAGUGGUUUCUUGAAAGCCUGACCAGGAAGUACUCCAGCGAACCACAAACAGCUGGUCAAUACAGCUGAUGGACUUCUUUUUUCCCUCCACUUACAAUCACUGAGCUAAAAGCUCUAAUGAUCUCUCAGCGAUAACGACAAAUAAAGUGCUCAGAUAUGAA